AGUCGAACGAUCAUUAUUGGGUAGCAAUAUUCGAUAGUGGGAGUGGCGCAAGGGUGAGUAACACGUGGGCAAUCUGCCGUGAAGCCUGGAAUAACUCGCUGAAAGGCGAGCUAAUGCCGGAUGUGAUUUCUGGAGGGCAUCUUCCGGAACUUGAAGCUGGGGACCGCAAGGCCUGGCACUUCACGAUGAGCCCGCGGCCUAUCAGCUAGUUGGUGAGGUAACGGCUCACCAAGGCUAAGACGGGUAGCUGGUCUGAGAGGACGACCAGCCACACUGGAACUGAGACACGGUCCAGACACCUACGGGUGGCAGCAGUCGAGAAUUUUUCACAAUGGGCGAAAGCCUGAUGGAGCGACGCCGCGUGGGGGAUGAAUGGCUUCGGCCCGUAAACCCCUGUCAUUUGCGAUCAAACCUUACGACCUAACACGUCGUGAGCUGAUAGUAGCGAAAGAGGAAGGGACGGCUAACUCUGUGCCAGCAGCCGCGGUAAUACAGAGGUCCCAAGCGUUGUUCGGAUUCACUGGGCGUAAAGGGUGCGUAGGCGGUCGGGUAAGUCUGAUGUGAAAGCUCGGAGCUCAACUCCGAAAUUGCAUCGGAAACUAUCUGGCUAGAGGAGUGGAGGGGAGACUGGAAUUCUCGGUGUAGCAGUGAAAUGCGUAGAUAUCGAGAGGAACA
rnacentral:rRNA from 1 species